AGUGAACGCUGGCGGUAGGCCUAACACAUGCAAGUCGAACGGCAGCACAGUAAGAGCUUGCUCUUACGGGUGGCGAGUGGCGGACGGGUGAGGAAUACAUCGGAAUCUACUUUUUCGUGGGGGAUAACGUAGGGAAACUUACGCUAAUACCGCAUACGAUCUACGGGUGAAAGCAGGGGAUCUUCGGACCUUGCGCGAUUGAAUGAGCCGAUGUCGGAUUAGCUAGUUGGCGGGGUAAAGGCCCACCAAGGCGACGAUCCGUAGCUGGUCUGAGAGGAUGAUCAGUCACACUGGAACUGAGACACGGUCCAGACUCCUACGGGAGGCAGCAGUGGGGAAUAUUGGACAAUGGGCGCAAGCCUGAUCCAGCCAUACCGCGUGGGUGAAGAAGGCCUUCGGGUUGUAAAGCCCUUUUGUUGGGAAAGAAAAGCAGCAGGUUAAUACCCCGCUGUUCUGACGGUACCCAAAGAAUAAGCACCGGCUAACUUCGUG
rnacentral:rRNA from 1 species